rnacentral:tRNA from 1 species
AAGGGAGACCUAAUUCCGGUAGGAGACGAAAAAAAAGUAGUCCCUACCAAGAAUCAAUCCCAAAAGGUCGAAGCGAGGCAAGAUUGGCUUUCAAACUAGGUUCUGGGUUCAAACAAGACCUGAAUCAGGAACAAGGGCUAUUAGCUCAGGUGGUUAGAGCGCACCCCUGAUAAGGGUGAGGUCCCUGGUUCGAGUCCAGGGUGGCCCACCUGCACAGGUGGCAAAAACAAAGAAGCGAGGAAUCAGCACCUUAUCUUACUCAUAUAGUAAGAGGGAAUGCUGGCUCUGAGUAAAGAGUCCAGAGGAACCUUGAAAACUGCAUAGAGCUAGGUGAAAAAGCCAAAAAAGAAGACCGCAA